GUGUGAAAUGAUGUUUGAUUUUGUUUCCCUAUUGGCCUGAAUCGCCAGCGUGAUGGCUUGAGAAACAUGGUGCCUGAUCACAC
rfam:Selaginella moellendorffii unplaced genomic scaffold SELMOscaffold_75, whole genome shotgun sequence.